GACGAACGCUGGCGGCAUGCCUAAUACAUGCAAGUCGAACGCUGAAGCACUCUGCUUGCAGGGUGCGGAUGAGUGGCGAACGGGUGAGUAACACGUGGGAAAUCUGCCUAUAAGAGGGGGAUAACAUUCGGAAACGGAUGCUAAUACCGCAUAUAUUCUUGGACCGCCUGGUCCUUGAAAGAAAGACGGCUUUGCUGUCGCUUAUAGAUGAUCCCGCGGCGUAUUAGUUAGUUGGUGGGGUAAAGGCCUACCAAGACAAUGAUACGUAGCCGACCUGAGAGGGUGAUCGGCCACACUGGGACUGAGACACGGCCCAGACUCCUACGGGAGGCAGCAGUAGGGAAUCUUCCACAAUGGGCGAAAGCCUGAUGGAGCAAUGCCGCGUGAAUGAAGAAGGUCUUCGGAUCGUAAAGUUCUGUUAUUAGAGAAGAACAAGUCAAGGAGUAACUGUCGUGACUUUGACGGUACCUAACCAGAAAGUCACGGCUAACUACGUG
rnacentral:rRNA from 1 species